rnacentral:tRNA from 1 species
GCCGGAGUGGCGGAAUUGGUAGACGCGCCGGACUCAAAAUCCGGUGGUGCGAGAGCACCGUGUCGGUUCGAGCCCGACCUCCGGUA